GAUGAACGCUGACAGAAUGCUUAACACAUGCAAGUCGACUUGAACUUCGGUUUGUGUGGCGGACGGGUGAGUAACGCGUAAAGAACUUGCCUCACAGAUAGGGACAACAUUUGGAAACGAAUGCUAAUACCUGAUAUUAUGAUUAUAUGGCAUCGUAUAAUUAUGAAAGCUAUAUGCGCUGUGAGAGAGCUUUGCGUCCCAUUAGCUAGCUGGAGAGGUAACGGCUCACCAAGGCGAUGAUGGGUAGCCGGCCUGAGAGGGUGAUCGGCCACAAGGGGACUGAGACACGGCCCUUACUCCUACGGGAGGCAGCAGUGGGGAAUAUUGGACAAUGGACCAAGAGUCUGAUCCAGCAAUUCUUUGUGCACGAUGAAGUUUUUCGGAAUGUAAAGUGCUUUCAGUUGGGAAGAAAAAAAUGACGGUACCAACAGAAGAAGUGACGGCUAAAUACGUG
rnacentral:rRNA from 1 species